rnacentral:rRNA from 1 species
CCUACGGGGUGCAACAGUGAGGAAUAUUGGUCAAUGGACGAGAGUCUGAACCAGCCAAGUAGCGUGAAGGAUGACUGCCCUAUGGGUUGUAAACUUCUUUUAUAUGGGAAUAAAACGUUCCACGUGUGGGAUUUUGUAUGUACCAUAUGAAUAAGGAUCGGCUAACUCCGUGCCAGCAGCCGCGGUAAUACGGAGGAUCCGAGCGUUAUCCGGAUUUAUUGGGUUUAAAGGGAGCGUAGGUGGAUUGUUAAGUCAGUUGUGAAAGUUUGCGGCUCAACCGUAAAAUUGCAGUUGAAACUGGCAGUCUUGAGUACAGUAGAGGUGGGUGGAAUUCGUGGUGUAGCGGUGAAAUGCUUAGAUAUCACGAAGAACUCCGAUUGCGAAGGCAGUUCACUGGACUGCAACUGACACUGAGGCUCGAAAGUGUGGGUAUCAAACAGGAUUAGAUACCCUGUAGUC